GAGGAGAGUGUCCUGUCUGGCUUCUUGCCUGUACGGGACUACUCGAAUCUUUUUUCUGGGGAAGCAAGGUGUCCUUUACUGGGCGCCUUGGGGAACCAGGACGAUUACCUUGAGAAAAAUAGAGUGUUCAAAGCAGGCAUUUGCUUGAAUACGUUAGCAUGGAAUAAUAAAAUAGGACUUUGGUUCUAUUUUGUUGGUUUUAAGGACCAAUGUC
rnacentral:rRNA from 1 species